UACAGAGGGUGCAAGCGUUGUUCGGAAUUACUGGGCGUAAAGCGCGUGUAGGCGGCGUCGUUAGUCGGAUGUGAAAGCCCUCGGCUCAACCGAGGAAGUGCAUCCGAUACUGCGAGGCUUGAGUGUCGGAGGGGGUGGCGGAAUUCCCGGUGUAGAGGUGAAAGUCGUAGAUAUCGGGAGGAACACCUGUGGCGAAGGCGGCCACCUGGACGACAACUGACGCUGAGACGCGAAAGCGUGGGUAGCAAACAGG
rnacentral:rRNA from 1 species